rnacentral:rRNA from 1 species
UACGUAGGGGGCAAGCGUUGUCCGGAAUCAUUGGGCGUAAAGCGCGUGUAGGCGGUCCAGUAAGUCUGCUGUGAAAGUCCAGGGCUCAACCCUGGGAUGCCGGUGGAUACUGCUGGGCUAGAGUACGGAAGAGGCGAGUGGAAUUCCCGGUGUAGCGGUGAAAUGCGCAGAUAUCGGGAGGAACACCUAUUGCGAAGGCAGCUCGCUGGGACGUUACUGACGCUGAGACGCGAAAGCGUGGGGAGCAAACAGG